UACGAAGGGGGCUAGCGUUGUUCGGAAUUACUGGGCGUAAAGGGCGCGUAGGCGGAUUUGCAAGUUAGGGGUGAAAUCCCGGGGCUCAACCCCGGAACUGCCUUUAAAACUGCUAAUCUAGAGUUCGGGAGAGGUGAGUGGAAUUCCGAGUGUAGAGGUGAAAUUCGUAGAUAUUCGGAGGAACACCAGUGGCGAAGGCGGCUCACUGGCCCGAAACUGACGCUGAGGCGCGAAAGCGUGGGGAGCAAACAGG
rnacentral:rRNA from 1 species